UGGGUAAUCUGCCCUCGAUUCUGGGAUAGCCCGGGGAAACCCGGAUUAAUACCGGAUAGCCUUCCAGGUUCUCGGACUUGGAAGAAAAGGUAGCUUCGGCCUCCGAUCGAGGAUGAGCCCGCGGUGGAUUAGCUUGUUGGCGGGGUAACGGCCCACCAAGGCGACGAUCCAUAGCUGGUCUGAGAGGACGAUCAGCCACACUGGGACUGAGACACGGCCCAGACUCCUACGGGAGGCAG
rnacentral:rRNA from 1 species